rnacentral:rRNA from 1 species
GAUGAACGCUGGCGGCGUGCCUGAGAUAUGCAAGUCGAGCGAUGUUUUACCCGCAAGGGUGAAAUAAAGCGGCGGACGGCUGAGUAACAUACAGAAAUCUGCCCCUUUUUGGGAGAUAGCACCGCGAAAGCGGUGAUAAUACCCCAUAGUCUCACCUUCGGGUGAGUAAAGGACGUAACUGUUCGAAAAGGGAUGAGUCUGUAUCCUAUCAGGUAGUUGGUGAGGUAAUGGCUCACCAAGCCUAUUACGGGUAGCUGGCCUGAGAGGGUGGCCAGCCAGAGGGGGACUGAGACACGGCCCCCACUCCUACGGGAGGCAGCAAUCAGGAAUAGUCGGCAAUGGGCGAAAGCCUGACCGCGCGACGCCGCGUGUAGGAUGAAGCUCUAACGAGUGUAAACUACUGUUGAGAGGGAAGAAGUUCCGGCUUGCCGGAAUUGACGGUACCUCUCUAGAAAGGGGCCGCUAACUGCGUGCCAGAAGCGUCGGUAAUACGUGGGCCCCGAGCGUUAUCCGGUAUCACUGGGCAUAAAGGGUCGUGUAGGCUUCUUGAUAAGUUCUCGUUUAAAUAUUCAGGCCUAACCUGGAAAAAGACGAGAAAACUAUCAAGAUAGAAUUUCCUUUAGGGAAACUGGAACUGAGAGAGGAGUAGUGAAAUGCGUUGAUACUCUCGGGAACACCAGUGGCGAAGGCGAGUUUCUGAAAGGAGAUUGACGCUGAGACACGAAAGCUAGGGUAGCGAAGCAGAUUAGAGACCUGCGUAGUCCUAGCCCUAAACGAAUGUCUGCUAGCUGCAUCUUUUCAAUAACACUUCAUCAAUAAAGCGAAGAAAUAACAUCUGAUAUUUUCUGCGUAUUUUGUGGAUGAGGUGUUGUUGAUUAGGUGUGGCGAAGGAAAUCCGUUAAGCAGACCGCCUGGGGAGUACGGCCGCAAGGCUAAAACUCAAAGGAAUUGGCGGGGAGGCACACAACCAGUGGAACAUGUGGUUUAAUUCGAGACGAAACGAAGAACCUCACCAGAGUUUGAAAUGCUAGCGUUCUAUUUCCUAGAAAUAGGAGAAAUCCGCAAGGAGGUUAGCACAGGUGCUGCAUGGCUGUCGUCAGCUCGUUCCGUGAGGAGUACCCUUAAGUGGGACAACGAGCGCAACCCCCAUCUUGUGUUACAUUUUCUCACGAGAGACUGCCCAAGCUUUGCUUGGGAGGAAGGAGGGGCAGACGUCAAGUCAGCAUGGUCCUUAUACUCUGGGCUACACACAUGUUACAAUGGAUACAAACAAUGGGCAUUGCAAGCCGGCAACGGCAAGCAAAUCCCAGAAAUGUAUUCUCAGUGGGGAUUGAGGUCUGCAACUCGACCUCAUGAACAUGGAAUUGGUAGUAAUCGCGGAUCAGCAUCGCCGCGGUGAAUACGUUCUUGCCUCUUGCACACACCGCCCGUCAAGCCAACAAAGUCGACCAUAUUCGAAUCUCGUUCUGCGGGAGAGAAUAUUGCCGGCGAUGAGGGUU